rnacentral:tRNA from 1 species
UGCUUGGAUACGCAGUGUAGCUUAAUAUAAAGCAUCUCGCUUACACCGAGAAAAUGUCCGUGAAAAUCAGACCACUACGAG